AACGAACGCUGGCGGCAGGCUUAACACAUGCAAGUCGAGCGCCCCGCAAGGGGAGCGGCAGACGGGUGAGUAACGCGUGGGAACGUACCCUUUGCUACGGAAUAGCUCCGGGAAACUGGAAUUAAUACCGUAUGUGCCCUACGGGGGAAAGAUUUAUCGGCAAAGGAUCGGCCCGCGUUGGAUUAGCUAGUUGGUGGGGUAAUGGCCUACCAAGGCGACGAUCCAUAGCUGGUCUGAGAGGAUGAUCAGCCACAUUGGGACUGAGACACGGCCCAAACUCCUACGGGAGGCAGCAGUGGGGAAUAUUGGACAAUGGGCGCAAGCCUGAUCCAGCCAUGCCGCGUGAGUGAUGAAGGCCUUAGGGUUGUAAAGCUCUUUCACCGGAGAAGAUAAUGACGGUAUCCGGAGAAGAAGCCCCGGCUAACUUCGUGCCAGCAGCCGCCGCUGUAA
rnacentral:rRNA from 1 species